rnacentral:rRNA from 1 species
UACGUAGGGCGCAAGCGUUGUCCGGAAUUAUUGGGCGUAAAGAGCGUGUAGGCGGCCAGACAAGUCCGUUGUGAAAACUAGAGGCUUAACCUCUAGACGUCGAUGGAAACUGUUUGGCUAGAGUCCGGAAGAGGAGAAUGGAAUUCCUGGUGUAGCGGUGAAAUGCGCAGAUAUCAGGAAGAACACCCGUGGCUAAGGCGGUUCUCUAGUACGGUACUGACGCUGAGACGCGAAAGCGUGGGGAGCGAACAGG